UACGAAGGGGGCGAGCGUUGUUCGGAAUUACUGGGCGUAAAGCGUGCGCAGGCGGUUCGUCGUGUCCGAUGUGAAAGCCCCGGGCUCAACCUGGGAAUGGCAUUGGAAACUGGCGGACUCGAGUGUGGCAGAGGGGGGUGGAAUUCCGCGUGUAGCAGUGAAAUGCGUAGAGAUGCGGAGGAACACCGAUGGCGAAGGCAGCCCCCUGGGCUAACACUGACGCUCAGGCACGAAAGCGUGGGGAGCAAACAGGG
rnacentral:rRNA from 1 species